CAACUCUAGUUGAUCCUGCUAGAGGACACUGCUAUCGGCUUGGGGUUAAGACAUGCAAGUGGAACGGGCUCGCAUCCGAGUCCGUCGCGAACGGCUCAGUAGUGUCGCUAACCUACCCUGUGGAGGGGCAUAACGCCGGGAAACUGGCGCUAAUUCCCCAUAGGAGCAAUGUUCUGGAAAUGAUAUUGCUCUGAAAAGGGUGUCCCAGGUAUGUGGGGCUCUCCGCCACAGGACGGGGCGGCACCGGAUCAUACUUGUAAGUGGGGUAACUGCCCACUUAGGUUAUGACCCGAACGGGCGAUGUAAGUCGUGGCCCGGAGAAGGGCACUGAGACAAGGGCCCUAGCCCCACGGGGUGCAGCAGUUACGAAACCUCACCAAUGCGCGAAAGCGUGAGUGGGCCAAGCCGAGUGAUGGGGGAUAACUCCAUCUGUGGCGGAUCCGCAAGAUGGACCGCUAGAAAGGAGAGGGCAAGGCUGGUGCCAGCCGCCGCGGUAAAACCAGCUCUUCGAGUGGUGUCCACGAUUAUUGAGCUUAAAGCGUCCGUAGCCGGCUUGGUAGGUCCCUGCUUAAAUCCGGCCGCCCAACGGUCGGCUUGGUAGGGAUACCGCCUCGCUUGGGGACGGGAGACGGCGACGGUAUUCCACGGGUAGGGGUGAAAUCCUAUGAUCCGUGGAGGACCACCAGUGGCGAAGGCGGUCGCCGAGAACGUGCCCGACGGUGAGGGACGAAACCCAGGGUAGCGAAUCGGAUUAGAUACCCGAGUAGUCCUGGGCGUAAACGAUGCCCGUUAAGUGUUGCACGGCUACGAGCCGCUGCAGUGCUGUAGCGAAAGCGAUAAACGGGCCGCUUGGGAAGUACGGCCGCAAGGCUGAAUUCCCCUCAGCCUAAUAGAACAGUGCCUGAGGGGACAGCAGACUUAAAGGAAUUGGCGGGGGAGCACCACAAGGGGUGGAGCUUGCGGUUUAAUUGGACUCAACGCCGGAAAUCUUACCCGCCCAGACAGCCGAAUGAGGGCCAGACUGAUGAUCUUGCCCGACGAGCUGAGAGCUGGUGCAUGGCCAUCGUAAAUUCGUGCCGUGAGGUAUCAGCUUAAGUGCUGCAACGAAUGAGAUCCCU
rnacentral:rRNA from 1 species